rnacentral:lncRNA from 10 species
UUAAUAAUGUUUCACUGACUAGAUGUGCUACAGAUGAUCAAUUUCAAUUUAGUUUUUCUAGAAUCAACAGAUCUCUUUCUUUUUGUAUUCCUAUUACGCUGGUUUACAUAGUUUUUAAUUAAAUUAUCUCAAUACAAUGACAGUUAAAACCGGCACAAACAGGUUUGGAGCAAACAAUGAUCAGAGAUGCUAGGUAAAAUACAUGCAACCCAAAGCCUGUGAUUAGUGAGCACUUUGCUGCCUUAUGUUACCAGAAGAACGGAAAGCGUCAGGUAACCCAGAAGCCUGUUAGCGAAGAAGGGCUGGGAGAACUACUGCUGUAAUAUCUUGAGGAACUUGUGUUCCAUCGCACUGCUGGGGAAAUGCUGGCUGACACGAUGCUCUUAUGGUGAAACACAGAAGAGUACUUAAGAUUUCAGUGUAACUAAUCAGCACCAGUGUUCAGAAGUUCCAGAACAGUAUAACACCAAUGGGACAUAUUUAAAAUCAAUAAAAAUAAAUUUACUCAAAUGCUCUCAAUAUCA